rnacentral:tRNA from 1 species
GCCUGGCUGGCUCAGUCAGUAGAGCGUGUGACUCUCAACCAACCUCAGGGUUGUGAGUUCAAGACCCAUGCUGGGCA